ACGUAGGCAGCAAGCGUUGUUCGGAAUUACUGGGCGUAAAGCGUGUGUAGGCGGUUGGGUAAGUCUGGUGUGAAAUCUCCUGGCUCAACUGGGAGGGUGCGCCGGAAACUGCCUGGCUAGAGUGCGGAAGAGGAGAGUGGAAUUCCCGGUGUAGCGGUGAAAUGCGUAGAUAUCGGGAGGAAGACCGGUGGCGAAGGCGGUCUGCUGGGCAGUUUCUGACACUGAGGCGCGACAGCGUGGGGAGCAAACGGGA
rnacentral:rRNA from 1 species